AGAGUUUGAUCCUGGCUCAGAACGAACGCUGGCGGCGUGCUUAACACAUGCAAGUCGAACGUGAUCCGGAGCUUGCUCCGGUGAAAGUGGCGCACGGGUGAGUAACGCGUGGAUAAUCUGCCCUGGUAUCUGGGAUAACAUCUCGAAAGGGGUGCUAAUACCGGAUAAGCCUACGGACUCCUCGGAGUCUGCAGGAAAAGGAGGCCUCUAUUUAUAAGCUUCCGUAUCAUGAUGGGUCCGCGUACCAUUAGCUAGUUGGUGGGGUAAUGGCCUACCAAGGCGACGAUGGUUAGCUGGUCUGAGAGGAUGAUCAGCCACACUGGAACUGAGACACGGUCCAGACUCCUACGGGAGGCAGCAGUGGGGAAUUUUGCGCAAUGGGGGAAACCCUGACGCAGCAACGCCGCGUGAGUGAUGAAGGCUUUCGGGUCGUAAAGCUCUGUCAGAGGGGAAGAAAUGAAACGUGCUAAUAUCACGUUUUCUUGACGGUACCCUCAAAGGAAGCACCGGCUAACUCCGUGCCAGCAGCCGCGGUAA
rnacentral:rRNA from 1 species